UUUGGCUGUGAUGACAACUUGCCCUCACUGUGAACUUGUUCUGUGAUGAGAAUACCACUGUACUCAAUUCUGUCUGAGCCAUA